AAGCCACGCCCAUUUCCUGAAGAAUUGCAUUAUGGGCCCUAAAAGCACGGAAAUAGUGUCCACUGUUUGUAUAAUUUGUAUUUUGGCGAAUUUAGUACGGCAUCCGGAAACUUUUGGCUAACUAUGCUAUGACCAAUAAGCAUACGACAUAUUCAAUUUCUCACAAAUAGUAUGGUUAGUGCAGAUAGUAUGAGUAUUCGAACACAGCUUUGGGAUAUGAUUUUCCAGAACAAUAAGGAAUGACUUCGUGAAAUAUUGAAGGAAAUCCCACCCUGACAUCGUGCAGAUGUAAAGAACUUGUUGUGAACCUUCCAGCCACCAGGAUAAUCAUUAUAUCCAAGGAUAUUAUUCAGGAGAGUGCAACAUCGCAAUGUUAGGUGAAAAUAGAUUCACCCAUGUUGUUGUUUAUCAUGCAGAUUUGUCAGGACAUUGUAAUUUAUGAAGCUCAUUCUAAAAUGCAGAUGUGAUUUCUGUGCCAGGGUGUUCGCGCUGUGUGCAAGUCUUCAAUUUAGACCACAAUUAGUUGAAUUAGUUGUUAGCGAAGGGCUGGAACAAAACCUGUAAACUCCUGUCCUGUGUAUAAAAAAAAACAACCUGUGGCUGUCAUGACUAAACUUGCCCUCAUGUACUGAACAAGUUUAUGAAUGUUGGAGAUUAAUCUCCUUGAGAUGUCCCUCACUUGGUGGGAAUGACCUAUUUUGUACAAUAUACUGUGUUUUAAGAACUCGUGCACAGAUACAGAACCCCCCCCCUAAAUGUUAACAUAUAUUCCAAAUUAAAAGUGUUGACGUCUC